rfam:Dorea longicatena CAG:42 genomic scaffold, scf5
AAGCGAAGAAGUAAGGUGUUGUGCCAAAGGAUUAAUGCCUUGCGAGUUUUAUAAGGGUUUGGCAUUUACCACAAUCUGGCUAGAGAAUGCAGACUCUCAAAAGAAAAUGCCAGAG